rnacentral:rRNA from 1 species
UACGAAGGGGGCUAGCGUUGCUCGGAAUCACUGGGCGUAAAGCGCACGUAGGCGGCUUUUUAAGUCAGGGGUGAAAUCCUGGAGCUCAACUCCAGAACUGCCUUUGAUACUGAGAGCUUGAGUCCGGGAGAGGUGAGUGAACUGCGAGUGUAGAGGUGAAAUUCGUAGAUAUUCGCAAGAACACCAGUGGCGAAGGCGGCUCACUGGCCCGGUACUGACGCUGAGGUGCGAAAGCGUGGGGAGCAAACAGG